rnacentral:rRNA from 1 species
UACGUAGGUGGCAAGCGUUGUCCGGAUUUAUUGGGUUUAAAGGGUGCGUAGGCGGCAGGCCAAGCGUGCGGUGAAAGUCCGGGGCUCAACCCCGGAUCGGCCGUGCGGACUGGUUUGCUGGAGCACUGUAGAGGCGAGUGGAAUUCCGGGUGUAGCGGUGAAAUGCGUAGAGAUCCGGAAGAACACCGGUGGCGAAGGCGGCUCGCUGGGCAGUGGCUGACGCUGAGGCGCGACAGCGUGGGGAGCAAACAGG